CCAGGCUUCUGACUUCAGUUUAUCCUGGGGUGUGUGAGAGUGGGUGGGGGAGAAGCAGAAAAAGAAUCCUUUCUUCCUUGAAGCCUGGAUUAUAGAUACAUUUAUAGCUACGAAGCCUUCACCAUAAACUGUACCAUAACUACGCUCGAUCAUCAGUUCUAAACUCCCUCCCUUCCUCCUUUGUCUUUUGAUAACAGGGUAUAGCUCUGCACCGUCCCCACCACCCAAGUUCUGGAUCCACCGUCCCUCCACUGGAAGCUUCAGCAGUUGCAGCCACCAGGUUCCAGAUGCUACCAUGAUGCCAACCAGACUUCCCUGGGCAGACAACCCCACCAAUGUGUCCUGGAGCUCUGCUUCCCCAGAGCCCUGCCCCACUAGGGAAAGAGAGAGACAGGCUGGGCAUAUGGA